CGAACGCUGGCGGCAGGCUUAACACAUGCAAGUCGAGCGAGAUCUUCGGAUCUAGCGGCGGACGGGUGAGUAACGCGUGGGAACGUGCCCUUUGCUACGGAAUAGUCCCGGGAAACUGGGUUUAAUACCGUAUACGCCCUUCGGGGGAAAGAUUUAUCGGCAAAGGAUCGGCCCGCGUUGGAUUAGGUAGUUGGUGGGGUAAUGGCCUACCAAGCCGACGAUCCAUAGCUGGUUUGAGAGGAUGAUCAGCCACACUGGGACUGAGACACGGCCCAGACUCCUACGGGAGGCAGCAGUGGGGAAUUCUUAGACAAUGGGGGCAAACCCUGAUCUA
rnacentral:rRNA from 1 species